AGUUCGAUCCUGGCUCAGAUUGGAACGCUGGCGGGAUGCUUUACACAUGCAAGUCGAACGGCAGCACGGACUUCGGUCUGCAUGAAAGCGGCGAAACGGGUAAUGUAUUGGAACGCCCAUGGGGAUAAUCACGGUAUAUAGCUAAUACUGGCAUUGUUCCUUCGGGGAAAGCGGGGACCUUCGGCCUCGCACCAUUAGAGCGGCCGAUAUCGGAUUAGCUAGUUGGUGGGGUAACGGCUCACCAAGGCGACGAUCCGUAGCUGGUUCGAGGGACAAGACCAGCCACACUCCGGGACCGAGACACUGGCCCAGACUCCCACGGGAGGCAGCAGUGGGGAAUUUUGGACAAUGGGGAAACCCUGAUCCAGCCAUCCCGCAAGCAAGGAUGAAGGCCUUGCCAGGUAAAGCACUUUUGGCAGGAGUUAAUCAUACUGAUAACAUCUGCAAUCGACGGUAAUUUUAGAGACGAAGACCACAAUUGUCGUGCCAGCAGCCGCGGAAUGGCUUAGGUGCAAGCGGUUAGACUCGGAAUUACUGGGCGUGAAGCGUGUGCAGGCGGUUCGGAAAGAAAGAUGGGAAUCCCUAGAGCUUAACUUUUGGAACUGCAUUUUUAACUACCGAGCUAGAGGCUAGAGGGAGGUGGAAUUCGCGUGGUAGCAGUGGAAAUGGCAGAGAGCAGAGAACACCGACGGCGAAGGCAGUCUCUGGAUAACACUGGACGUUUAUGCACGAAAGCGUAGACAAACAGGAUUAGAUACCCCGUAGUCCACGCCCGGGAAACGAUGUUAAUCAUAGCUGUUGGGGCCUUCGGGCCUUGUAGCGCAGCUAACUGCAUAGCUGAACGCGCCUGGGGAGCAUGGCCAAAGAUUAAAAACUCAAAGGAAUUGACGGGACCCGCACAAGCGGUGAUGAUGUGGAUUAACGGAUGAACGCGAAAAACCUUACCUACCCUUGACAUGUCUGGAAUCCCGAAGAGAUUUGGGAGUGCUCGCAAGAGAACCGGAACACAGGUGCUGGUAAGUGGCUGUCGUCAGCUCUCGCCGUGAGAUGUUGGGUUAAGUCCUGCAACGAGCGCAACCCUUGGUCAUUGAAGGAACGAAAGGGCAAUUUAGACGAGACUGCCGGUGACAAACUCAGAGGAAGGUGGGGAUGACGUCAGGGUCUCAUGGCUCCGGCGGCAGGCUUCACAGCCGCCACGGCAAUGGUCGGGACGCAGAGGUCGCCAACCCGGCGAGGGGGAGCCAAUCCCAGAAACCUGAUCGUAGUCCGAUCGCAGUUCCUCAGCAAACUCUGACUGCGUGAAGCUCGGAAUCAGCUAGUAAUCGCGGAUCAGCAUGUCGCGGUGAAUACGUUCCCGGUCUUGUACACACCGCCCGUCACACCUCAUGGGAGUGGGUUUUACCAGAAGUAGUCAGCUCAACCGUAAGGAGGGCGAUUACCACGGUAGGAUUCAUGACUGGGGUAAGCCGCAACAAGGCAACCAAAGACACCGAUGCCCCGC
rnacentral:rRNA from 1 species